rnacentral:misc_RNA from 1 species
GUAGGUGAACCUGCGGAAGGAUCAUUGCACACACAAAGUUGCAGCAAACCCUUCGAGAACUCGGAUUUGUCCCGACUCCGAGUCGGCACUCGCUGCCUGCCUCGGGGUACUCGCACGGAGCGGGGUGCCGCUCCGCUCCGCGCGAUGGCGCAAUGCAUCAACACCUGGCCCAUGACUGAGUCCCGAAUUUUAUCGGCGUUGCGACUCCGGCCAUUCCGUGGUCGGAGUCCGACCCGAUGAGUUGUACAACAAGAACAACUCUCAGCAACGGAUAUCUUGGCUCUU